CUGUGCAGUUCCUUGCACGAUGGGGCUACUGUCAUGCAAUUCAUGGCACAACAGCUAAUGUCGUGUGUGUGUGUGUGUGUGUGUGUGUGUGUGUGUGUUUAGACAGAUGAGCUACUCUCGGUAGACACAUCAUUCUAAUACAGAGAAAAGAUGGAGAAGGGGUGUCAAUCAGUUAUAUUUGCAAGGGUUAGCAGGGAGCAUCAGAAUCCCUGAAUGACAAAGUAAAUGCAGGAGUGUUGUUAUGUCUGCAGCAGGUCAGACUCUUGCUCACACUGUACAGUGUUUAUUCUUGUGAACGCCGUUGGAGUGCUCAUAUAAGGACUACUCGGCACGAGUAAGUGUUGCAGAGCCGGCCCCGUGGUCCACGCAUGAAGUCAUGUGUUAUUUAAAAAUAAAGCAGGCUCUGUGCCCUACUGAGAGAAGAACGGACUUCUACGAAUGUACGUGGACGUAGCUGGUCAGGUAAAUCAAUCAUAUGUAUUUUGAAAUGCUGCCUAAAUAGCUCGGCUAUCACUUUCCAUUUCCUGGCGCUGGUAAGUGAGCUUGUGUUACACGCCCUUAAUGUUAUUUCAAUUAUGUCGUUUCUCCUUCCAGAGGAGGGCCCAAUUUUCAGCCUUGGGAGCAGCAACCAUUCCUGAAUUUGGAGUGUGGUGCUGGGCACCCUCGACUCCCACUCCCUUCUAUGGAGCUAAGAGUACACAGCACGUCCCAGGAGGUGCUCAGCGCCUUGCGGGGUCGGGCCGUCGGGCACUGAAUCAACACAGGCCUAUUUUGUUUCUGCCCCUACAACUCCCAUUGAAGUCAAAGGGAGGUUUUGGUGGACAUGGAAUGGAAUGCUGGACUGGAACUUCUGUAUAGGGACAAAACAAAGAUGUCCUACUCUGUCUCCUAAUGGUACGUUAUUGGCUAAUCCACUGGUUCCAGCAAAAUAAACAGAUACUUGCAUUCCUGGAUUUGAAGGGC
rnacentral:lncRNA from 1 species